rnacentral:rRNA from 1 species
GAGUUUGAUCGUGGCUCAGGAUGAACGCUGGCGGCGUGCCUAAUACAUGCAAGUCGAGCGAACGGACGAGAAGCUUGCUUCUCUGAUGUUAGCGGCGGACGGGUGAGUAACACGUGGAUAACCUACCUAUAAGACUGGGAUAACUUCGGGAAACCGGAGCUAAUACCGGAUAAUAUUUUGAACCGCAUGGUUCAAAAGUGAAAGACGGUCUUGCUGUCACUUAUAGAUGGAUCCGCGCUGCAUUAGCUAGUUGGUAAGGUAACGGCUUACCAAGGCUAACGAUGCAUAGCCGACCUGAGAGGGUGAUCGGCCACACUGGAACUGAGACACGGUCCAGACUCCUACGGGAGGCAGCAGUAGGGAAUCUUCCGCAAUGGGCGAAAGCCUGACGGAGCAACGCCGCGUGAGUGAUGAAGGUCUUCGGAUCGUAAAACUCUGUUAUUAGGGAAGAACAUAUGUGUAAGU